GGAAACGUCCGGAAACGGGCGCUAAUACCGCAUACGUCCUACGGGAGAAAGUGGGGGAUCUUCGGACCUCACGCUAUUAGAUGAGCCUAGGUCGGAUUAGCUAGUUGGUGAGGUAAUGGCUCACCAAGGCGACGAUCCGUAACUGGUCUGAGAGGAUGAUCAGUCACACUGGAACUGAGACACGGUCCAGACUCCUACGGGAGGCAGCAGUGGGGAAUAUUGGACAAUGGGCGAAAGCCUGAUCCAGCCAUGCCGCGUGUGUGAAGAAGGUCUUCGGAUUGUAAAGCACUUUAAGUUGGGAGGAAGGGCAGUUACCUAAUACGUGAUUGUUUUGACGUUACCGACAGAAUAAGCACCGGCUAACUCUGUGCCAGCAGCCGCGGUAAUACAGAGGGUGCAAGCGUUAAUCGGAAUUACUGGGCGUAAAGCGCGCGUAGGUGGUUUGUUAAGUUGGAUGUGAAAGCCCCGGGCUCAACCUGGGAACUGCAUCCAAAACUGGCAAGCUAGAGUAUGGUAGAGGGUGGUGGAAUUUCCUGUGUA
rnacentral:rRNA from 1 species